rnacentral:tRNA from 1 species
GGAGGAAUGCCAGAGUGGUUUAAUGGGCUGCUCUCGAAAAGCAGUAUCUCGUCUAACGGGAUCGAGGGUUCAAAUCCCUCUUCCUCCG